UACGUAGGGUGCAAGCGUUGUCCGGAAUUAUUGGGCGUAAAGAGCUCGUAGGUGGCUUGUCGCGUCUGCCGUGAAAACCCGCGGCUUAACUGCGGGCUUGCAGUUGAUACGGGCAGGCUAGAGUUCGGUAGGGGAGACUGGAAUUCCUGGUGUAGCGGUGAAAUGCGCAGAUAUCAGGAGGAACACCGGUGGCGAAGGCGGAUCUCUGGGCCAUUACUGACGCUGAGGAGCGAAAGCGUGGGGAGCGAACAGG
rnacentral:rRNA from 1 species